CGGGCAGUAGCGCAGGGGUAGCGCAUUCGUCUGGGGGGCGAAAGGUCGGUGGUUCAAGUCCACUCUGUCCGACCA
rnacentral:tRNA from 1 species